CGAGGAGAAGAGAAGCUGGUUUUUAGUUGAGAAAGCCGAGGAUGCCGAGGCCUGGCGGUUUGGUUCCGCGGCGCCUCCUCCCACGCUGCUAACGGCGCGACUCACAGGCCUUAACGGGACAAGCUGAGAAAAUCGAAGCCCAGCAAGGUGAAGAAGUUUGCCCACGAUCAGACAGCUAGAAAGUGAUGAAGCUGCGUUUUGAGACACAUUUAUACGGGAGCGAAGGACCAAGGACCAAAAUGAUAAGGACUGCAGAAGGCUUUGUAGCUGAGGGAGCAGACAAAGGGAAGCUGGGCAGACCCCUUGGAGAGCCCUGCUCUAAGAGAUGCAGUGAAUGAGGUCAGGAUGCCCAGAGGCAGGAACUGAGCAUAUACUGAGUUCCUGGAACUGGCCUUAAGGAAGAAACUCAGCCUGCUGAGACAGCUGGGCCUAACAAGGGGUUCUAAGGGCUUAAGCUGUAGAAAGAGCAUGGAAACAUUCUCUUAUGGAGAGCUCACAACCUCCUCCCCACUGACAGCAUCCUGGAGAGAAAGAAUAUAGAGCCACAAGUUAGCAUGCUUCCCACCCAGCAUCGCCGUCUGCUGGCUGUGCAACCUUGGGUAAUUUGCUUAACCUAACAAAUUUCCUUCUCCAUGAAUGACAGUAAUUUUAAUUUUGUGACUAUUAAGUAAAAUAUACUAUGAAAUAAGUAUGGUGCUUGGCAUAUAGUAAAUCUUAACAUCGUCAUUAUUGUUUUCUGUAACUUUCACUUACUGAUCCUAGUUCCCUAACUGCACAGAAUAAUCCAAUCUCUUAUGUUAGCCUUUAGAUAUUUGACAAAACUUCUUUCUUUCAACCAGUAUUUACUAAACCCUGUCUUCCAGGAACUUGCCCUUUUGGCACUCACAGUCUAGUGGGAAAGGCAGGUAUAAGAAAAUAUACGUGCACAAAUGCAUGUAAAAUCGCACCUGUAAUAAGUGCUACAAAGAAGAGGUUCAUGUGCUCUAAGAGCACCAGGAGUGGAUUUGACCUGGUCGGGGAGGCCAGAGACGGUUGCUGAAGGGCGAGCAGGAGCUAACAAGGCGAAGACAGCAGGGACAGUGUUCCAGGGAACAGCACGCUUCAGAGGCUCUGUGCAGGAGGAGCUGUGGCCUGUUGGAGUAGCUGCAUGAAGGCUGGUGGUGCCUAGAGAAAAGGUUGGGGAAGGACGCUGGAGAGAUGUGGGGGGGUCCAAACUCGACCAAGAAGAUGACUUCGUUCUUGAUUCUAAGAUCAGUGGUUUUGAAAUAAAGGAGCAGAGUCAGACUUCAGUGUUUUUUAAGUUACUCUGCAGCGCCAAAAAGAAACCAGAGAGGAGCAGGAGCAGAUCUGGGGGUGACCAGCUGGGAGACUACUGCAGUGGUCCAGGCAGGAAGAUGGUGGCUGGUGCCAGGGUGGUGAUGCAGAUAGAAAGAAACAAAUGAGUUCAAGGGAAACUGGGGUGGAAAAAUCAACAAGGCUUCAUGGUAGAUUGGACUUGGGAGGUGAGAGUAAGGGGGAGAAGGUAACAAGGAGGACCGCCUGGUUUCUGGCUUAUACAGUUGAGUGGAUGAUGAUUUACUGAGUCAGGAAACCACAGAGGAGGAACCAGUUUGGACAUGCUGAGAUUGAAGUUCAGAUGAACUUCAGGAGGUUUAUUGAAAUCUAGAGCUUAAAAAGAGAGCUCCGGGCUCACUGCCAUGGCUUCCAUUGCUCGCCAUUCUGGGUCUGGCCUCAAAACUCUAACCUGUGGGUGCCCGUCUUAAAUCGUGGUGCACGGUGGUCUGACCUAGGUAGGUUUCAGCAGGACUGUUAGACCUGUGACCUGGCCCCUGAGGGCCUGUUCAUUGAACAUAAGACUACAUUAUCUUUUAUUGGCGUCCUCAUUAUCCAGUUUACUCAUUUUGAGAAUGUCAUCAACCAAAACCCCAGGGUCUUUAUUUCUCAUGAACUGCUGGCAAGACAGGUCUGCCUGGUCCAAUACUUGAAACUGUUUUGUUUUGUUUUUUGUGGUUUUUGUUUUGUUUUUCUUUGUUCCUUUCCAGCCAAAUUUGCACUCUUUGUUAAACGCUGUCUUGGUGGUUGUGACUCAUCUUUCCAGGCCUCUGAGAUCAUUUAGGCUCGAACCUAUUGGGUCAUUUGCACACUUCAUCAGUCUGAUCCAAAGAUUAUCAACUGCACUUCCCAGACCCUCAGGGGGUCCUAGAAUUUGGGCAAGAAAAAAAAAAAUUUCACCUUUAUUUUUACUAACAUGUAACUGAAAUUUAAUAUUUCCUUCAAUUGUGAAUAUAGGCAAAACCCCACCAGUAUUAACAAUACCUGUGGCUUGUCACUAAUAAACAUCACAAGUAUUUUUAUAUCCCAUUAUAGCUAUUGUAGAAAUCUCAAAAUAUCCUUUAUGCUCAUUGCCAUUUGAAACUGUCAGCAGUUAUAAACCUCCUGCUAGAUCUUGAUAUUAAAUAUAUUUAAAAGAAGCACAUAUAACUUUAUCACUUUUAAACAUUUGGUUAACCGUUUCAAUUUGUUUUCUUAGUAAUCUUACAUAUUUUGCCUUAUCGGUUUUAAAAACAUAAUUCUGAGGAGGAAUCAGGAGGCCCCUGCAGACUGCCCAGGGGUCC